rnacentral:rRNA from 1 species
UGGCCUACGGGGCGCAGCAGUCGGGAAUAUUGCACAAUGGAGGAAACUCUGAUGCAGUGACACCGCGUAUAGGAAGAAGGUUUUCGGAUUGUAAACUAUUUUAGACAGGGAAGAAAAAAGACAGUACCUGUAGAAUAAGCUCCGGCUAACUACGUGCCAGCAGCCGCGGUAAUACGUAGGGAGCAAGCGUUGUCCGGAUUUACUGGGUGUAAAGGGCGUGCAGCCGGGCUGACAAGUCAGAUGUGAAAUCCCGCGGCUCAACCGCGGAACUGCCUUUGAAACUGUCAGUCUUGAGUACC